rnacentral:rRNA from 1 species
CCUGAGAAACCCAAAAGAUCGAAUGGGGAGAUUCAUCGUCAGCUCAUUUUGUAUAUAUAUAAGUUGUGAUGUGGAUUACUACUUGUAGUUAAAUCUGUACAUGCUUGUAUAUUUAGUUGCAAGAUGUUGUCGGCGUGCACUUCUCCCCUAGUAGGACGUCGCGACCCGUUAAGUUUGUCGGUCUACGGCCCGAGUGGUAGACUUUAAUUUUUUAUUAAAUUAAAGACCCUUGGUGAUUUCUGACUGGCACUUGGCGGUAUUCGUAUGGUAUUAAGCCGCAAAUUAUAUGCGUCCAUGGCCGUCGCAAGCAAGAUUAAUUUUUUAGUAGUACGGACCUAGUGCCGUCGCUAUAAUUAAUCAGCUGUUGGUUGUACGGUAAUCUAGGACUGGCUUUAAAUUAAAAUACCGGUCAGCGAUGCUACUGCUUUGGGUACUUUCAGGACCCGUCUUGAAACACGGACCAAGGAGUCUAACAUGUGCGCGAGUCAUUGGGAUAUUUUAAUAAAUUAAACCUAAAGGCGUAAUGAAAGUAAAGGUCGUCCUUGCGUCGGCCGAGGGAGGAUGAGUUUUAUUAAGAUAUAACUCCGCACUCCCGGGGCGUCUCAUUCUCAUUACGAGAAGAGGCGCACCUAG